rnacentral:rRNA from 1 species
GGCGGUGUAACGGACCACCAAGACGACGAUGCGUAGGGGUUCUGAGAGGAAGGUCCCCCACACUGGUACUGAGACACGGACCAGACUCCUACGGGAGGCAGCAGUGAGGAAUAUUGGUCAAUGGCCGAGAGGCUGAACCAGCCAAGUCGCGUGAGGGAAGAAUGUCCUAUGGAUUGUAAACCUCUUUUGUGCGGGAGCAAUAAUGGUCACGUGUGGCCAGACGAGAGUACCGUACGAAUAAGCAUCGGCUAACUCCGUGCCAGCAGCCGCGGUAAUACGGGGGAUGCAAGCGUUAUCCGGAUUUAUUGGGUUUAAAGGGUGCGUAGGCUGUGAGGUAAGUCAGCGGUGAAAUGCCCCCGCUCAACGGGGUGAAGUGCCAUUGAUACUGCCUUGCUGGAAUGCGGAUGCCGUGGGAGGAAUGUGUGGUGUAGCGGUGAAAUGCAUAGAUAUCACACAGAACACCGAUUGCGAAGGCAUCUCACGAAUCCGCGAUUGACGCUGAUGCACGAAAGCGUGGGUAUCAAACAGGAUUAGAUACCCUGGUAGUCCACGCUGUAAACGAUGAUGACUAACCGUC